UUCUGAGACAAUUCUGAGGUAAUUCAGGAAGUAGAAAAAUUAAAGCAAAAAACUAUAAUAAUAUUCUCAGAGAUAAAAAGUAAGGUAUUUAUGAGAAAAAAAAACAGAAUAAUUUAAAAGGAAUAUUUAGAGAACAAUAAAAGGCUCUGAAACAUUAAAAAUAAUAUAGUAGAAAUUAAAAAUCAAAAGAAAGCUUGAAGAUAAUGGUCAAGUGAAGUUCCUAGAAAGAACAAAUGACAGAAGAAAAUGAGAGAAGUACAAGCCAGUUUCUCAGAAUGAAAGGACAGUCCUGCAAAAAGACUAAACCAAGAAAAAACAUCAUGAGAUACCAGAAGACCAAGGAUUUUUAAAUAUAUAUGGAGGUAUGAAAAGUUCUUUGAAAGGGAAAAACAAAGGAUCAGGGAUCAGAAUGGGAUUAGAAAAUUCCUGGUCACAACCACUGGAAACCAAAAGACAAUUAAUUAAAAGUUCAAAUUCCUAACAUAAGGUGAUUUCUAAGUCAAAUUCUGCACCUGUCCAUACUCUACAUAUAGAGCAAAAAUAAAUAUUUUUCAGAUAACCCAGGUCUCAAAUAAUUUGCCUCCCAUAUUUUCUUCUCAGAAAGAUCUUGGGAGUUAUUGGCCUCCACUGAAAUAAGAGUAAACAAAGAAAGAGGGAAAGGGGGCCCAACACCAGAGAAAGGCCAAGGAUACACCAUGAUGGUGCAAAAGUAUAGAACCUGAUUAGCAGAUUUUACAGGAGCCUGAGAAAGAAGCUAUGUCAACAAGGAAAAAUGGGAUUGAUAGACUAUCAGAUGUGAUUGGCUAUUUCAGAGAGGUUUCUUAGACAGAACAUAUUCCAGGAAGAGAG
rnacentral:lncRNA from 1 species